GAUGAACGCUGGCGGCGUGCCUAAUACAUGCAAGUCGAGCGAACGGACGAGAAGCUUGCUUCUCUGAUGUUGGCGGCGGACGGGUGAGUAACACGUGGAUAACCUACCUAUAAGACUGGGAUAACUUCGGGAAACCGGAGCUAAUACCGGAUAAUAUUUUGAACCGCAUGGUUCAAAAGUGAAAGACGGUCUUGCUGUCACUUAUAGAUGGAUCCGCGCUGCAUUAGCUAGUUGGUAAGGUAACGGCUUACCAAGGCAACGAUGCAUAGCCGACCUGAGAGAGUGAUCGGCCACACUGGAACUGAGACACGGUCCAGACUCCUACGGGAGGCAGCAGUAGGGAAUCUUCCGCAAUGGGCGAAAGCCUGACGGAGCAACGCCGCGUGAGUGAUGAAGGUCUUCGGAUCGUAAAACUCUGUUAUUAGGGAAGAACAUAUGUGUAAGUAACUGUGCACAUCUUGACGGUACCUAAUCAGAAAGCCACGGCUAACUACGUGCCAGCAGCCGCGGUAAUACGUAGGUGGCAAGCGUUAUCCGGAAUUAUUGGGCGUAAAGCGCGCGUAGGCGGUUUUUUAAGUCUGAUGUGAAAGCCCACGGCUCAACCGUGGAGGGUCAUUGGAAACUGGAAAACUUGAGUGCAGAAGAGGAAAGUGGAAUUCCAUGUGUAGCGGUGAAAUGCGCAGAGAUAUGGAGGAACACCAGUGGCGAAGGCGACUUUCUGGUCUGUAACUGACGCUGAUGUGCGAAAGCGUGGGGAUCAAACAGGGUUAGAUACCCUGGUAGUCCACGCCGUAAACGAUGAGUGCUAAGUGUUAGGGGGUUUCCGCCCCUUAGUGCUGCAGCUAACGCAUUAAGCACUCCGCCUGGGGAGUACGACCGCAAGGUUGAAACUCAAAGGAAUUGACGGGGACCCGCACAAGCGGUGGAGCAUGUGGUUUAAUUCGAAGCAACGCGAAGAACCUUACCAAAUCUUGACAUCCUUUGACAACUCUAGAGAUAGAGCCUUCCCCUUCGGGGGACAAAGUGACAGGUGGUGCAUGGUUGUCGUCAGCUCGUGUCGUGAGAUGUUGGGUUAAGUCCCGCAACGAGCGCAACCCUUAAGCUUAGUUGCCAUCAUUAAGUUGGGCACUCUAAGUUGACUGCCGGUGACAAACCGGAGGAAGGUGGGGAUGACGUCAAAUCAUCAUGCCCCUUAUGAUUUGGGCUACACACGUGCUACAAUGGACAAUACAAAGGGCAGCGAAACCGCGAGGUCAAGCAAAUCCCAUAAAGUUGUUCUCAGUUCGGAUUGUAGUCUGCAACUCGACUACAUGAAGCUGGAAUCGCUAGUAAUCGUAGAUCAGCAUGCUACGGUGAAUACGUUCCCGGGUCU
rnacentral:rRNA from 1 species